rnacentral:rRNA from 1 species
UAGGGAAUCUUCGGCAAUGGGGGGAACCCUGACCGAGCAACGCCGCGUGAGUGAAGAAGGUUUUCGGAUCGUAAAGCUCUGUUGUUAAGGAAGAACGAGUGUGAGAAUGGAAAGUUCAUGCUGUGACGGUACUUAACCAGAAAGGGACGGCUAACUACGUGCCAGCAGCCGCGGUAAUACGUAGGUCCCGAGCGUUGUCCGGAUUUAUUGGGCGUAAAGCGAGCGCAGGCGGUCAAUUAAGUCUGAUGUGAAAGCCCCCGGCUCAACCGGGGAGGGUCAUUGGAAACUGGUUGACUUGAGUGCAGAAGAGGAGAGUGGAAUUCCAUGUGUAGCGGUGAAAUGCGUAGAUAUAUGGAGGAAUACCAGUGGCGAAGGCGACUCUCUGGUCUGUAACUGACGCUGAGGUUCGAAAGCGUGGGUAGCAAACAGG